rnacentral:rRNA from 1 species
UACGAAGGGGGCUAGCGUUGUUCGGAAUCACUGGGCGUAAAGGGCGCGUAGGCGGCUUUAUAAGUCGGGGGGUGAAAGCCUGUGGCUCAACCACAGAAUUGCCUUCGAUACUGUAGGGCUUGAGACCGGAAGAGGUUAGUGGAACUGCGAGUGUAGAGGUGAAAUUCGUAGAUAUUCGCAAGAACACCAGUGGCGAAGGCGGCUAACUGGUCCGGUUCUGACGCUGAGGCGCGAAAGCGUGGGGAGCAAACAGG